rnacentral:rRNA from 1 species
GACAGAGGGUGCAAACGUUGUUCGGAAUUACUGGGCGUAAAGCGCGUGUAGGCGGCUCGGAAAGUCGGGUGUGAAAGCCCUGGGCUCAACCUAGGAAGUGCACUCGAAACUUCCGAGCUGGAGUUCUGGAGAGGAAGGCGGAAUUCUCGGUGUAGAGGUGAAAUUCGUAGAUAUCGAGAGGAACACCGGUGGCGAAGGCGGCCUUCUGGACAGCAACUGACGCUGAGACGCGAAAGCUAGGGGAGCAAACGGG